CGCGGGGUGGAGCAGCCCGGUAGCUCGUCAGGCUCAUAACCUGAAGGUCACAGGUUCAAAUCCUGUCCCCGCA
rnacentral:tRNA from 4 species